GUUGAUAUUCAACCCUGUCCCUGUACAAACAGUUUUAUUAGAGUUCAAACUGUGUAGGACUCUAGACUGUUAAAUUACGCAUAAAAUUCAGCAGUUCUGACACACCUUUGGAUUUCUAUCUGUACAUAUAAUGAGAUUGCACUAUACUCUUGUCUAUAUAUUGGUGCAUUUACUCCUGCUUUUGCUGAUCUUAUGAUACGCUGUUGAAAUCUUCUAACUUUUGCGAACUCUGAUGACAAUCCCUGUAGAAACAAUAUCUAUUGUUAACAAAUUUAAUGAAGCCUGUAUUUUAUUCUUCUGAGAUUUGCCAUCUUAAAGUCUUGAUGGCAUAGCUUUCAGGAUGAAGAGUAGGAAAAAGGCAAAUGGACUCAAGUGUCUGAUCAAAGCCAUGGAGUGAUGUUUAGGCAAAAAACAGAUGUUAUGCAACCAUUUUCAGAAUCAAUUCCAUUGAAAAAUAUUCCACUGAUAAAAUAAAGAGGGUAUUAGAUAAAUAUAAAUGUAGAAGGACCCUUGAACUUAUUUAGUCCAACAAGUUCUUGGACUUGCUUGUUUUAUUAAAACAUUCCCUGUUUUAAAUGUAAACAACAGCAAGUUCCUAUAGCAAGUACUCCCAAACUUCCCUCUCCUUUUCAUCCAUCAGUGAGUCUGACAUUUGUUUAAAGUGCUGUCAAAACUCAUAACUGAGCAAACUGAAGCAUUAGAGUCAAGUAUGAACUUGGUAUACUGCACUUUUCAUGAAAAUGUAUAGUAACUAUGAAUUCUCAUAACGAAUACACUUCACCUAAGCCUAGGGCUAUGAAGACUGAAACCACCCCUCCACCCUGGUCCCAGACCUCGACAUGUGUUUCUUUCCAGGCUGUUUUGAGGAGUUGAAUGUCUCCCCUAUAUUUUGUUCAGAGAUUUGUUCUAUAGUUGUGACUCUUACACCAUAAACUAGCAAAUAAAUUGUGACAGACAGACCUUGGGUAAUUUUAGUAGGAAACUUCAAAAUAUAGAAGAAAUAUAAAAAAGGUGUUGCAAAAUAACCUGAUCUAUUGAUAAUAUAUGGUAAGAUUUUAAAAUAAAAAGCAUAUAGAGUAAAAUAUAAGAGACAAGUAAAUUGCCUUGUCUGUUUAUUGCACUUGAACCUUCUGUUGCCAUUAGAAGUGCACAUUGCUAUAAAACCAGUCGUGUUAAGCAGGGAAACACAACUAGCUACAGAGAAGGAAGAUUUCCCAUCUCCCUUGAUUUUUUGAUGUGACAAACUAGCUUGACUGCAUCAAUGAACUGACUCACUAAGAAAAUAUGUUCCUCACAUAAAUACUUUCCCUCUAGUAAAUCUCUUUUACCUCUCUCAGAGUCCUAAAUUAUGCUGAGUUAAUAGUUAUCUGAAGAGAGUGAAUGAAAAAGGCAAGCCUCAGCUGUUGUUGUGUACUAAGCUGAUGUCCACCUAGGUGCAUCAUUUAUUGCUGCCAGGAAGAGGUCCAGUGAUUCAGUGCCUCUCUUUCAGAGCUAGAUCAACUUGGUACUCUUUGUAAAUGAGGUACACUUGCAUCAGGUGGGCACACCAUGAUGUUGCAUGAGUGCUGUUUGUAUUUCUCUGUGGUUAAAGAGCAGUUUGACUAAUGAUUCCAGUAGUUUGGUAGCCUUUAUCAGAUAAAAAAGUCAUGAAAAAUCCCAGUGGCCACUGACAUUAUCCCACUAGAUGGUACAUUCAAAGGAUACUUCUGGGGCCAAAUAAAUAAAAACAAGUGAAGAAUAUCUGUAAGGAAAAACAGCAACAAACUUGAAUGUAAUGAAAACAGAAAAUGAGUUAGUUGCUACUUAAUGUUUCCAUAUCAUAAUUCUAGGUCAUUGCACGUCCAAGCUUUUUUAGCCUGUUGAAACAUGAUACUUUGUCUUAAACUUCUUAGUUUUAAUUUCAGCACUAUUCAUCUGCUAACUAGUAUAUCGAGAGAGAUUUUUUUAACCUAUAGCUUGUUGGAGAAAGAGAAGACGUAAGUCAGAGAUGUUUGGGUGGAGUGAGGAGGGCUAUUAUGGCAAAAUAUAUGCCUCAUGUCAUAAUAGAGAAAUGGCUCAGCUUUGGAGAGCACUUCUCACCACCCAUUCCCAUACCCACAAUCACGUUGCCAAAUUAAAUACUGGGAAAUACUGGCCACCUUAAAAUAGAGAUAGUAAGAGAGAUAACAGUAAAAGAGUAAAACCUCAGUGAAACAAUAAAAGGAAUGGAUGAUUUGUUCCAGUGUAAAAGCACAAUGAUGGAAUUGAUUUUCCUCUGCAAUGUCUUGAAAAUAACUAGAAGAUACUUUUCCCUUUUUUAAUGUAAAAGAAGUAUUAUGAACUACUGUGUCAAGUAGCCAACUUUCAGUCUAGUUUAGGCAUGUUCUCAGUGCAGCAUCUGAGUUCAUGGACAAUUAGCAGCAGGUAUAAAUUAAAGUGCUCUUUACAGUAAGGGCAGAUAACCACCUUUAUUAAAAAGACUCAUAAGUGUAUCUUUGUCUUUAACUAUUUGCUUACUUCCACUGAUAUGGUCAAAUAUAUAAGGAUGACUGGGUUAGGUGAGGUUGAUGCAAUUUAGCUAUGCUUCACUGAGCAAGGUGAGAUUUUCAGAAGUGAGAUUAUCAUUGAUUUCCUUUUAAGUUGUGAAUGCUCGACCACUGUCUUAUUAAAGUAGUUCUGGUUGGCUGCGUUUUGGAUAUGGAUUUUUUUCUUCUCUUAAAAAAAAAGUAAAACGUUUUCCACAGCCAUCUCUACUUUUCCUUGCUGUAUGAGAACAGUGCCUUCUAGAUACUAUACUACAGUAAAGAAAGACAUCUUGUAAUCAAGUAUUGAGCAAAAUUACUUGUUCUGGGAAGGGAUAACCCUUAACCUUGAGAACUAUGUGCUGUGUUCAUGAUAAGUACUGCCCACCAUAGGAGACAAUCAGAUUCAAGACCAUCUAAGGAACCUUAAUGUGCACAAAUCCAUGGGACCUGAUGAGAUACAUCCAAGGGUCUUGAGGAAACUGGCAGAUGAAGUUACUAAGCCAUUCUAUCAUAUCUGAAGAGUCAUGGCAGACUGGGGAAGUUCUGCCAUGGUAUAACUGCAGCCAGCAACUAAGCACCAAGCAACUGCUCACUGACUUUCUCCUAGCGCUGUAGGAGAGAGAACUGGAAGGGUAAGGGUGAGAAAACUCAUGGGUUGAGGUAAAGGAAGUUUAGUAGGGAAAGUGAAAGCCACACACAAAACCAAGGAAUUAAUUCACCACUUCCCAUGGGCAGAGGGCGGGUGUUCAGCCCUCUUCAGGAAAGCAGGAUUACAUCAUGCAUAGCGGUUACUCACUCACUCAUGGCUGGGCUUCAUGAACAAAGAUUUGGGAAGGUCUCUACCCACGUUUGU